AUUGAACGCUGGCGGCAGGCCUAACACAUGCAAGUCGAGCGAGCGGCGGACGGGUGAGUAAUGUAUGGGGACUGCCCGAUAGAGGGGGAUAACUACUGGAAACGGUGGCUAAUACCGCAUACUAUCGGAUAACCCAUAUGGGAUUAGCUAGUAGGUGGGGUAAAGGCUCACCUAGGCGACGAUCUCUAGCUGGUCUGAGAGGAUGAUCAGACACAUGGGGACUGUGACACUGCCCAGCCUCCUACGGAGGCAUCAGUGUGGAUUAUUGCCCAAUGGGUGCAAGCCUGAUGCAGCCAUGCCACGGUGAUGAAGAAGGCCUUAGGGUUGUAAAGUACUUUCAGCGGGGAGGCGUUACCCGCAGAAUAAGCACCGGCUAACUCCGUGCCAGCAGCCGCGGUAAUAC
rnacentral:rRNA from 1 species